rnacentral:rRNA from 1 species
ACGGGUGAGUAGUGUCGGGGGAUCUGCCCGAUAGAGGGGGAUAACCACUGGAAACGGUGGCUAAUACCGCAUAACGUCGCAAGACCAAAGAGGGGGACCUUCGGGCCUCUCACUAUCGGAUGAACCCAGAUGGGAUUAGCUAGUACGCGGGGUAAUGGCCCACCUAGGCCACGAUCCCUAGCUGGUCUGAGAGGAUGACCAGCCACACUGGAACUGAGACACGGUCCAGACUCCUACGGGAGGCAGCAGUGGGGAAUAUUGCACAAUGGGCGCAAGCCUGAUGCACCCAUGCCGCGUGUAUGAAGAAGGCCUUCGGGUUGUAAAGUACUUUCAGCGGGGAGGAAGGCGAUGGGGUUAAUAACCGUGUCGAUUGACGUUACCCGCAAAAGAAGCACCGGCUAACUCCGUGCCAGCAGCCGCGGUAAUACAGAGGGUGCAAGCGUUAAUCGGAAUUACUGGGCGUAAAGCGCACGCACGCGGUCUGUUAAGUCAGAUGUGAAAUCCCCGGGCUUAACCUGGGAACUGCAUUUGAAACUGGCAGGCUUGAGUCUUGUAGAGGGGGGUAGAAUUCCGUGUGUAGCGG